rnacentral:rRNA from 1 species
UACGUAGGGGGCAAGCGUUGUCCGGAGUUACUGGGCGUAAAGGGCAUGCAGGCGGUCCGACACGUUUUGUGUGACAGCGGGUGGCUUAACUACCCGAGGAUACGAAAGACGGUUGGACUUGAGGACUCGAGAGGGACACGGAAUUCCGGGUGGAGUGGUGAAAUGCGUAGAGAUCCGGAGGAACACCGAAGGCGAAGGCAGUGUCCUGGCGAGUGACUGACGCUGAGGUGCGAAAGCCAGGGGAGCGAACGGG